AUGGAGGAUUGCACCAUUUGCGGGAACAUCUCUUCUCCAUUCCUGAAACAUCUCAGCAUUAUCUACUCUUCUUUCCGGACAGGCGCCUUCCGCGCCCGGAUCUAUUUGCCCAGCCUUGUAUCCCUCGAGCUAGACGGUUUUUUCGGUAGGACUCCGGUACUGAUUGAAAGCAUGCCACUGUUAACUUCGGCAAUUGUUAGAGUCAAUACAUGUCUUGAUUGUUGUCGUAAGAAUGACUAUGGAGGUUGCGAUGAUCGUCAAUGUGAUGGAUGUUAUGAAUCUGAAAGGGGUGCUCACGAUAGGCGUGGCGAGUCUGUGCUUUUGAAAGGAUUAUCACAAGUUGCCUCUUUGGAGUUGUGGGUUCAUCCUGAAGUGGUAUGCAUGCUUGCUCACACCUGCUUCUUCGGUUUGUGGGACUUGAGAUUGUGCCCAACAUUCAGCAAGUUAAAGACUUUGUUGCUCAGCAAAUGGUGCCCUGGCAUUGCUGGUGACCUCAAUAUAUUAAAUUGCUUCCUCAAACAUUCACCAAUUUUGGAGAAGCUCACUAUCCAGCUUUCUGAGGAACCUAAAGUUCCGGUGAAAAUACAAAGAAGUUACACUCCAUCAAAGCAAUCAUUUGCAUUCACCCAUCUGAAGAUCGUCGAGAUCAAAUGUGACAAAGUUGAUCGGUGGGCUCACAAGGCAUUGGACAUCUUGAGUACCUUCAACAUACCACUCGAGAAAGUUACAAUCCAGCGAGGAAAUAAAACUUCUGGAUCUUAA
rnacentral:rRNA from 1 species